GUCGAUAAAUCUGACACUGACCCACCGUUCCACGGAAGAGCGGCGAGGUAUCUAUGACUAUUUCCUCGCGUAUAAAAAAGAAAAUGCUGCAAGAAUAUAAGGAGGUCCCAGUGCACCGCUGGUGAGCGUCAGGCAGGCCACCGUGAAGCUUUAGUCGGUAAGUCCGACACUACCCUCCCGCUUCCCAAAAGAGCGGCGAGGUGUCCAUGACUAUUUCCUCACGUAUAAAAAAAGGAAAAAACGUUGCAAGAAUAUAAGGAGAUCCCGGGGCACCCCUGUUGAGCGUCAGGUGAGCCACCGUGGAGUUUUAAUCGGUAAGUUCGACACUACUCCGCCGCUUCCCAGAAGAGCGGCGAGGUAUCCAUGACUAUUUCCUCACGUAUAAAAAAAAUGUCACAUGUAUUAUAAUUACUUAACACUCGUAUUCUCAACACAUGAAUAUAUAAACACGACAUAUUAUAUAUACACAUAACAUUAUAACAUAAACAACAUAACAUUCUAUGUCUAUUAUUCUAGGAAUGUAUUAAACGACGUUGUAAAGUGUAAGGGUGCUUCAGGUCUAAUUAAUUGUAAAUCGAUCGGAAUGCUAUUGUAACCCGAAAAGAAAAGCGAAUACAGUUACGGAAGAAAAAAGAAGAAAAAGAAUAAAAAUGGAACGUUCUCGUGCGACUAGCGCUACAUUUCGUUCGGGAAAUGGACCGGUGUCGCUUAUCGUCGAUUAAUUUAUACCAAAUCUUCGACUAGAGUCACCGUAGCACAGGACGUACCUUUGUUAUGCCGAUAUUCGAUAUCAAUUGUAUGACAAUAUAAGGUAUCACGAGUAGAGUAACGCGCCACGAGCGUUCACCCUUCUCGAACGAGACAAAUGUGAGAGAGUAGCAAGUUAGUACCUAUUAAUCUCGAUGUUCCCUUUCGCGGCGCGCGUAUCCUAGAUGCGUCGCGAAAUCAUUUGGAACAUUCCUCUGAAACAGCGCGCGAUCCAACUAUCGAGAUCUUUGCAAUUCAUUCGUUGAUUAUUUCACUAAAGAAUCAUCGCUUUACUGAACGAUCGAUCUCGAUAGUUGGAUCGCGCGUACUGUUCGCGGUCGCCCCGUCGUCGAUCGCAUUUGCUCGCUUAUUUUUCUCCCGUGCUCAUAGUCAAGGCCGCUUAAUAUUGAUGACGGGUGUUUUAAGCGUGUGAUUAUAAGAUAUCAAGUGGACAACGAAUCAUCGCGGUCGAGUGGGCAGCGAUCACGACGCGGCGUCUCGCCGAGAUGAUCGCUCGAAUUGAACACGAUUAUUACGAGUUCUCCGAUCGUACGACCAUUUAUUACCUUUAUCUAACCGCCAAGUAUAAGAGAAGAAGGAAAGAAGGAAUGUUUAAAGACUAAAAAUGCGAGUAAAAUGCGAGUUCUAUCUGUCAUCGUUUUAGCUGUUAAGGAUUCAUCAUCAAAGUAAAUGGGGGUAGUUUUAAUCCAAGUAAGCGUACCACGUAAGCGCAGCACAUUGAAAAAAUACGGGAAAAAAUAACAAGUAGUACAAUGUAUAGGUUUGUGUAUAGAUACUCGAGGACAUAUGUAAAGAGGUAUCGGUCUUGGGGCACACGUCGAGCGCUCGUUACCGAUCCCUUCCCAUUGGUUCAACGUUGAAAGGUAUUUACGGACGAAAGCCUAACAAGAUCGUUCCUCUAAGCUUCUUGAGAUACCACGGAAACGUUUUCGACCGUUUUCUAUUCACUAUCCGCGAGUAAUCGAAGUGCAACGGCCCUUUUCACCGAGGGAUCUCAUGAUAACCUGGGGUGGUCGAUAGGUAACGAGCACGCCGUUUCAUGGAACAUCAAGAGAGUCUUCCUCGCGAUGGCAAACGACACUCGACGCUCGGUGAUCAUUUUAUGGCCUUAAUCAAAUUUUCAUUAGGGGUCAAGUGUCUUCGUAAUCGCGACAUCGCGUUUGUCGCGAUAAAACGAAAAAAAUGUCUAUGACGACGAUACGAAUGGCCAACGCAUACCAAACGGAGUACGAAAAAUACUGGUGAAUAUUGUAUUAAAUUCAGUGUAUUUUGCGAACUUCGUUUGCGAUACCGAUGGGCCGAUGUUUUGUGCUAACUUCGUGUAAAAUUUCGAUCGACGCUUUAACGUGCCCCACGACUCUUAUCGACGACUGAUUCGAUUGAUCUGGAAAGAUUUUAUACCGAUUCUGCGUCGUUCUUUUUUGCGCGUUUCUUCACACGAAACCGCUGAAAGAGUUUUGAUACAUGACGCAAUUGUGGAAAAUUUUUCAACGAAUGAAGCACCGAAUAGAGGAAUUUUUC